GAUGAACGCUGGCGGCGUGCCUAAUACAUGCAAGUCGAGCGAACAGAUAAGGAGCUUGCUCCUUUGACGUUAGCGGCGGACGGGUGAGUAACACGUGGGUAACCUACCUAUAAGACUGGAAUAACUCCGGAAAACCGGGUCUAAUGCCGGAUAACAUUUAGAACCGCAUGGUUCUAAAGUGAAAGAUGGUUUUGCUAUCUCUUAUAGAUGGACCCGCGCCGUAUUAGCUAGUUGGUAAGGUAACGGCUUACCAAGGCAACGAUACGUAGCCGACCUGAGAGGGUGAUCGGCCACACGGGAACUGAGACACGGUCCAGACUCCUACGGGAGGCAGCAGUAGGGAAUCUUCCGCAAUGGGCGAAAGCCUGACGGAGCAACGCCGCGUGAGUGAUGAAGGUCUUCGGAUCGUAAAACCCUGUUAUUAGGGAAGAACAAAUGUGUAAGUAACUGUGCACGUCUUGACGGUACCUAAUCAGAAAGCAACGGCUAACUACGUG
rnacentral:rRNA from 1 species